rnacentral:rRNA from 1 species
AUACAUGUCGAGCGAACAGAAUAGGAGCUUGCUCCUUUGACUUUGCGGCGGACGGGGGAGAACACGUGGGCAACCUACCCUAUAGUUUGGGAUAACUCCGGGAAACGGGGGCUAAUACUCCAAUAAUCUCUUUUACUUCAUGGUGAAGGACUGAAAGACGGUUUCGGCUGUCGCUAUAGGAUGGGCCCGCGGCGCAUUAGCUAGUUGGUGAGGUAACGGCUCUCAAGGCGACUAUUCGUAGCCUACCUGUCCGGUGAUCGGGUGGGUGGGA